rnacentral:rRNA from 1 species
UACGUAGGUGGCAAGCGUUGUCCGGAUUUACUGGGCGUAAAGAGCGCGCAGGCGGUCGUUCAAGUCGCGUGUGAAAGCCCCCGGCUCAACUGGGGAGGGUCACGCGAUACUGAUCGACUCGAAGGCAGGAGAGGGUAGUGGAAUUCCCGGUGUAGUGGUGAAAUGCGCAGAUAUCGGGAGGAACACCAAUGGCGAAGGCAGCUCGCUGGGACGUGACUGACGCUGAGACGCGAAAGCGUGGGGAGCAAACAGG